rnacentral:rRNA from 1 species
AUUGAACGCUGGCGGCAGGCCUAACACAUGGCAAGUCGAACGGUAGCACAGAGGAGCUUGCUCCUUGGGUGACGAGUGGCGGACGGGUGAGGUAAUGGUCUGGGAAACUGCCCGAUGGAGGGGGAUAACUACUGGAAACGGUAGCUAAUACCGCAUAACGUCGCAAGACCAAAGAGGGGGACCUUCGGGCCUCUUGCCAUCGGAUGUGCCCAGAUGGGAUUAGCUAGUAGGUGGGUAACGGCUCACCUAGGCGACGAUCCCUAGCUGGUCUGAGAGGAUGACCAGCCACACUGGAACUGAGACACGGUCCAGACUCCUACGGGAGGCAGCAGUGGGGAAUAUUGCACAAUGGGCGCAAGCCUGAUGCAGCCAUGCCGCGUGUAUGAAGAAGGCCUUCGGGUUGUAAAGUACUUUCAGCGGGGAGGAAGGGAGUAAAGUUAAUACCUUUGCUCAUUGACGUUACCCGCAGAAGAAGCACCGGCUAACUCCGUG